rnacentral:rRNA from 1 species
GUAUGGUCUAUUAGCUCAGUCGGUAGAGCACCUGACUUUUAAUCAGGGUGUCCCGCGUUCGAGUCGCGGAUAGAUCACCAAUGGAGAGGUGUCCGAGUGGUUUAAGGAGCUGGUCUUGAAAACCAGUGACUUCGAAAGGGGCCGUGGGUUCGAAUCCCACCCUCUCCGCCAAAUGCCCAGAUAGCUCAGUCGGUAGAGCAGGGGACUGAAAAUCCCCGUGUCGGUGGUUCGAUUCCGCCUCUGGGCACCAAAAUGUGGCGGUAUAGCUUAGUUGGCUAGAGCGUUCGGUUCAUACCCGAAAGGUCAUAGGUUCGACUCCUAUUACCGCUACUAAAAUUUAAUGUGGGCCAUUAGCUCAGUUGGUUAGAGCGCCCGGCUCAUAACCGGUAGGUCUGGGGUUCGAGUCCCUGAUGGCCCACCACAUUAAAUUAAUUAAUAUAAAUUCGAGGUGUAGCGCAGUUUGGUAGCGCACAUGGUUUGGGACCAUGGGGCCGGGGGUUCGAGUCCCUUCACCUCGACCAAUAUAAGGUGGGUAUAGCUCAGUUGGUUAGAGCGCCAGAUUGUGGCUCUGGAGGUCGUGAGUUCGACUCUCAUUAUCCACCCCAAUUCAUAUGGUCUAUGUGGCUCAACGGUAGAGCAGCUGACUUGUAAUCAGCAGGUUGUAGGUUCGAUUCCUAUCACCAGCUCCAUGUAAAAUUAAUACGGAGGAUUUCCCGAGCGGCCAAAGGGGGCAGACUGUAAAUCUGUUGUCAUCGACUUCGGUGGUUCGAAUCCACCAUCCUCCACCAAAAAAUGCGCGGAUGUGGCGGAAUUGGCAGACGCACUAGACUUAGGAUCUAGCGCCAUUGGCGUGGGGGUUCGACUCCCUUCAUCCGCACCAUUUUUGUUUGAUAUACAUAUAUAAAUUGUGGGUGCAUAGCUCAGCUGGAUAGAGCAACGCCCUUCUAAGGCGUGUGUCCGGGGUUCGAAUCCCUGUGCGCUCACCACAUAUAUUGGGGAUUAGCCAAGUCGGUAAGGCACAUGACUUUGACUCAUGUAUGCGUAGGUUCGAGUCCUGCAUCCCCAGCCAAAUGAUGUAUUACUAAGCUAUAUUUGAACUAUUUUUAUUUUAAAUAUAGUUAGGUUCAACGCGUUCGAGUCGCGGAUAGAUCACCAAUGGAGAGGUGUCCGAGUGGUUUAAGGAGCUGGUCUUGAAAACCAGUGACUUCGAAAGGGGCCGUGGGUUCGAAUCCCACCCUCUCCGCCAAAUGCCCAGAUAGCUCAGUCGGUAGAGCAGGGGACUGAAAAUCCCCGUGUCGGUGGUUCGAUUCCGCCUCUGGGCACCAAAAUGUGGCGGUAUAGCUUAGUUGGCUAGAGCGUUCGGUUCAUACCCGAAAGGUCAUAGGUUCGACUCCUAUUACCGCUACUAAAAUUUAAUGUGGGCCAUUAGCUCAGUUGGUUAGAGCGCCCGGCUCAUAACCGGUAGGUCUGGGGUUCGAGUCCCUGAUGGCCCACCACAUUAAAUUAAUUAAUAUAAAUUCGAGGUGUAGCGCAGUUUGGUAGCGCACAUGGUUUGGGACCAUGGGGCCGGGGGUUCGAGUCCCUGAUGGCCCACCACAUUAAAUUAACUUAUGGUGGGUAUAGCUCAGUUGGUUAGAGCGCCAGAUUGUGGCUCUGGAGGUCGUGAGUUCGACUCUCAUUAUCCACCCCAAUUCAUAUGGUCUAUUAGCUCAGUCGGUAGAGCACCUGACUUUUAAUCAGGGUGUCCCGCGUUCGAGUCGCGGAUAGAUCACCAAAAAGGUGGCGACAUAGCCAAGUGGUAAGGCAGUGGACUGCAACUCCUUGAUCCCCAGUUCGAAUCUGGGUGUCGCCUCCAAAAUAUUCCAAGGUAGCUNCAAACCGACACAGGUGGGUGAGGAGAGUAUCCUAAGGCCAGCGAGAGAACUGUUGUUAAGGAACUCGGCAAAAUGACCCCGUAACUUAGGGAUAAGGGGUGCCACCAUCAGGUGGCCGCAGAGAAUAGGCCCAAGCGACUGUUUACCAAAAACAUAGGUUUCUGCUAAGUCGCAAGACGAUGUAUAGGAGCUGACGCCUGCCCGGUGCUGGAAGGUUAAGGGGAUCUGUUAGAGCAAUCGAAGCAGUGAACUUAAGCCCCAGUAAACGGCGGCCGUAACUAUAACGGUCCUAAGGUAGCGAAAUUCCUUGUCGGGUAAGUUCCGACCCGCACGAAAGGCGUAACGAUUUGGGCACUGUCUCAACAACAGACUCGGUGAAAUUGUAAUUCCGGUGAAGAUGCCGGAUACCUGCGACAGGACGGAAAGACCCCAUGGAGCUUUACUGUAGCUUGACAUUGGGUCUUGGUACUACAUGUACAGGAUAGGUGGGAGGCUUUGAAACCAGGACGCCAGUUUUGGCGGAGCCAUCCUUGGGAUACCACCCUUGUAGUACUGGGACUCUAACCAUAGGCCAUGAAUCUGGUCUUGGGACACUGUCAGGUGGGCAGUUUGACUGGGGCGGUCGCCUCCCAAAAGGUAACGGAGGCGCUCAAAGGUUCUCUCAGUACGGUCGGAAAUCGUACGUAGAGUGUAAAGGCAAAAGAGAGCUUGAUUGCAAGACAUACAGGUCGAGCAAGGAUGAAAAUCGGACUUAGUGAUCCGGUGGUUCUGCGUGGAAGGGCCAUCGCUCAACGGAUAAAAGCUACCCUGGGGAUAACAGGCUUAUCUCCCCCAAGAGUCCACAUCGACGGGGAGGUUUGGCACCUCGAUGUCGGCUCAUCACAUCCUGGGGCUGUAGUAGGUCCCAAGGGUUGGGCUGUUCGCCCAUUAAAGUGGUACGCGAGCUGGGUUCAGAACGUCGUGAGACAGUUCGGUCCCUAUCCGUCGCAGGCGUAGGAAAUUUGAGAAGACCUGUCCUUAGUACGAGAGGACCGGGAUGGACGUACCUCUGGUGUACCAGUUGUUCUGCCAAGGGCAUGGCUGGGUAGCUAUGUACGGAAUGGAUAAGCGCUGAAAGCAUCUAAGCGCGAAGCCAACUUCAAGAUAAGAUUUCCCACCGCAAGGGUAAGACCCCAGAAAGACUAUCUGGUUGAUAGGUCGAAGGUGUAAGUGCAGCAAUGUAUUUAGCUUAUCGAUACUAAUAGGUCGAGGACUUGACCAA